rnacentral:rRNA from 1 species
AUUGAACGCUGGCGGCAUGCCUUACACAUGCAAGUCGAACGGCAGCACGGGUGCUUGCACCUGGUGGCGAGUGGCGCACGGGUGAGUAAUACAUCGGAACAUGUCCUGUAGUGGGGGAUAGCCCGGCGAAAGCCGGAUUAAUACCGCAUACGAUCUACGGAUGAAAGCGGGGGACCUUCGGGCCUCGCGCUAUGGGGUUGGCCGAUGGCGGAUUAGCUAGUUGGUGGGGUAAAGGCCUACCAAGGCGACGAUCAGUAGCUGGUCUGAGAGGACGACCAGCCACACUGGAACUGAGACACGGCCCAGACUCCUACGGGAGGCAGCAGUGGGGAAUUUUGGACAAUGGGCGAAAGCCUGAUCCAGCAAUGCCGCGUGUGUGAAGAAGGCCUUCGGGUUGUAAAGCACUUUUGGCCGGGAAGAAAUGCUUGGCCCUAAUACGGUCGGGGGAUGACGGUACCGGAAGAAUAAGCACCGGCUAACUACGUG